UAACAAUCCUUGACCAGACAAACAGUCUAACAGAUCAGAUAGCAUAUCCGUAACAUAGCAACCAUCCUAAACGAGGAUGUAUCUAGCAUAUCAGUAACAUAACAACCACCCUAAACCAGGAUCUAUCUAGCAUAUUAAUAACAUAGCAACCAUCCUAAACCAGGAUGAAAUCUUGCAUAUCAGUAACAUAACAACCACCAUAAACCAGGAUGUAUCUAGUAUAUCAAUAACAUAGCAACCAUCCUAAAACAGGUUGAAAUCUAUCAUAUCAGUAACAUAACAACCACCCUAAACCAGGAUGUAUCUAGCAUAGCAAUAACAUAACAAACAAUUCCCGGAUUUCCAUCCGAUAAAGGGCUGGCCUUGGUGUCGUAGACCCUAUCGAUAUAGUGAGGAGAACUCACCUGCAUUUGCCGACUGGAAAGAUAAGACCAAGCUGCUAAGACCAUCGACACAAUCUUCACUAUAGAACACCACCAAACAAACAAUUUCAUAAAUACCCAAAAUUACCAAAAUACCCUUGGAAGUCAAACUGGUCAACUCUUGGUCAAUGUCAAAGUCCUCAGUCAAAGUCACCCUCCCUGGUUGAUUCUACUCGCCGAGUCUCCCCGACGACUCGUUGAGUUCCUAUACUCUGAAACUCCCAUAAUACGACUCAACUCGCCGAGUCGCCCCAAGACUCUUCGAGUCUAACGAUCUCUGGGUCCCAUCCUGUCCGACUCACUGAGUUGCCGACCGACUCACUUAAUAAAAGGCUUUAACCAAAAGAGGUUGGGGUCUGUGACCAGACUCGCCGAGUCCAAGAACAAACUCGCCGAGUCCAACGCAAUCUUCAACAGACUCUCCGAGUUGUUCUUCCAACUCGUCGAGUCCAUGCACAUGUUCAUACAACUCGUCGAGUACACGCAUGUGGCUCGCCAAGUCUCUUCAGUUCUCAAUCCAUUCAGAAGCUUUUCGAGUCAUGCAGGGGCUCCAAUCCAUAGAUCCACCCUUCUACAAUCUAACCCUCACAUAAAGUUGCAAAGUUUACGUGAAACCAAGGAGAUAUAUGCCCAAAACAUACUAGGGCUUGGGUUUUAGACAAAGGGGCUUCACCAACAACUCAAAGACUGAAGCUUUAUGACAUUUUAGGCCCUCAUGAAACUAGAUCUGGAGUAGCAACCAAAGAUCUAACUCUAAAUCCGAGAUAGGUGUCCAAAAAAAGUUAAGGGACUCCCAAAACAAGCGCCAAGGAUGAACCACAAAGGAAAUGGCUUAAGAUAAGGGCUCCUUACCUCAGAGAUGUGGCCAAAUCAGAUGUAGAUCCCAGAUCUAUACAAACCCCUUGAUGAUAACUUCUAAUUUUUCAAGCUCCUUCAAACACUUUCCUCUUCCAAGUCCCAAUCUCCUCAACAAUGAAUCCUCACACAAAAUUAGGGUUUUCUGGAACUCUCAGGGGGGUUAGGAGGCUGGGGGAAGGACAUAAAGUCCUUUAAAUAGGGUGCAACCCUCGAGAUUAGGGUUUUCUCUCUUCAGCACCAACUCGUCGAGUCCACCACUGACUCGGCGAAUUGGCCACUUAAACCCGCGAUCAAUCCCGCUCCGACUCGAUGAGUAACAUACCUACUCAUCGAGUAGGUUCCUUAAUUUACACUUAGCAAUAAAGUUCCUACACAUCGUAACUGGCUCAAACAGCCUCAGGCUAGAAAACUAGGCAUGCCUACGAUGGCCCAGCCAUCCCUAGGAUGGAACACAACUACAUUCAGAGCUCAUGACUCAACCAUACUCGGAACCAAGGACCACGUCCUUACAUCACCCUCGAACACUUCGGUUCGAUACAACGAAGUGACCCACUCACACUUCCCCAUUACGAUCUCUAGGUCCUUGACCUCCGACUGUAGUAUCCUUAUACAGUCCUCAGCACCGGUCCAGACUACUCCCAAGUCUGUUAACCUGCUUUCUCACCUUCCACUGUCCAAAAUCUCCACUUUGGAACCACUAUCCUCCUCCUCUUCCAAGGAUACUGAAAACAUGCAUGCGCAUCAUCCAACAUUGCCAUAACCUCAACGGGCAUCCAACCCAUAUUGGAUUCCAUAUAUCUGGUACAAUCCCAGUGCAUACUACCAGCAACUAAAGCACUUUCGAUCAUCCAUUUACUCUGUUGCCUUCCUUUCAGAGGACCCGCACUCCUUCCGGAGCUACAUACCUUUCCUUUCCAGGAAGUCUACACAACAACCCUUAUCGCACCUAAAGGUGCCACUGAGCUAAACUCCACUCUACACUAUCCAUGUAGAGCAACUGCUAUUCUUGAACUCUGAUAUAUUCUGAAUCCAAUCACAUAGCUAACUAGGCCCAUGCAUGGCCUUCAACCAACUUCAUCAUCAUGAUCAAUACUUGGGGCCAGACCAUAUCGAUUACCAUUGCAUGGCGACAUAUUCCUUCAUUCUCCUCAUACUGAUCCACUAACACAUACAGAGUCUUCAGCAUGACUGGACCAUUGUUCCAGGCCUUCAGUCUAUCUGGACCAUUCUGAAAACCUUUAGCAUGUCUGGACCGCCCUCCCGGGCCUUCAGCCUAUCUGGACCAUUCCUCGAGCCUUUGGCCCGACCUGUACGCCUUCCGGCCCUCAGUCUAUCCGGACCGCUCAAAACCAAUAUACGUCGCCCUGAACCAUUCUUCCUGGGAAUCUCUCCCAUGCAGUCUGUUCUAGCCCUCUAGGGGUUCCGAACUCCCAUUCGGUUCCCGGAAUCCUUUCCGUGGCCUAAACCCAGGCCUCACAUCGACCAACUACCUUCCCUGAAACCAUGGUCUGUUCCCUGCCCCACUUGUCUAUCGCUUGCUCCCAUCAUGCCACACUCUCGUCUAACACCGCUAGAUCCAACAUUUUAAUUAAACACCCAUUCGGAUCCAUUCUCGGUCCCCAAUUGGAGUAUUACCCAAUUCGAGAAGAUGAAACCUCGGAGACACUCCGAACAGAUGAGAUCACCAAGAUUCUUUAAACUUCGUCCGACCCCUAAUAAUAACUUCCUAUCAACCAAGAUACACCGGGGUCCUCAGCGUACUCUAGCAACAUGCUCAAAACGUGGAACAGACCUAUUGAGUGCUAAGCAUAGUAGUCUGCUCAAUACCCGAACAUAGAUCUACAAAAAUAAACAGAGUCUUUGGCAUGACUGGACUGCCCUACCAGGCCUUCAGUCAAUCGUCCACCUUCUCGGAAAUCUGAGGUCUAUUCCCUGGCCCGCAUGUCUACCAUACACGCUAAAUAACCCGCACUCUCGUGCUAAAUGCACAGUUGGGCCCUGACAUCUAACAAAACCCUCAAUCUAUCAAUCCAACACCCUCAGAGUCGAGCACACCCUCGACCGAAAACUUAAACUAAACUCGAUUCUUGACUAGGACCCCAACUUGGUUACCCAACUUCUGCUAUCAAGCAUCCAGAAGACGUGUUCUUAUGCUGGGGAGUUUUGUCGACCCCCAACCAACACAACCCUCAACUAAGCAGCCAAUGAGGCCUCUGUUCUCCCUGUCGGGUUGUGACACUUAUCCCCGUUUCAAAACCUUCCCACUUUAGCAUCUCAGGGUAACACUCCCCCACUUAGAUUCAACUAAGCCUUCAUAAUACAUGAAGAUUGGACGAUUCUCAAUCCUCCUCACUUCCCAACGAUUUAUCCGAUGACAACCAACUCUUUCCCACUAGUGCUCCAUUGCUAGCUAGACUCGACUAAUCACACACUUCUAAGAAUCAGAUGAUCACUUCCUGAAUCACAGUGACAGCGACAACCACCAAUACGUGAAUGACUACAUACUCACUUCCUGAAGGCCACCAUAUAGAUGCUCCAACUAAUACCUUGGCAACGAGUUACUUCUCUUGGCACUUUUAAUCUGUCAACCACUAAUGGUUGCUAACCACUGAAUCUGGACAAUGAUGAAUAACCCUUUUGUGGGACUCUGUCCGCAUUCCUCCCACAUAAAACCCCUUUUCCAAUGGUUUUCCAAACAAGCUUCUCACUUUCAGGCUUUAGAAAUCAUUCUCAUCAGGGUUCAUACCCUGACUUACUCACUAACUCAAACGCCCACAGCUGAACGGCAGCAACUGAAACAACCUCUGCCCUAAACCGAGCUACAAAACACUCCCAAGACAUAGUCUACAGUCCCAGAAGUGCAAUAGAUCGCACAAUCAAUCCUUUCCAUCCAAUACAAGAGAUCCAAGGAAAACCGGACCACACAACACUUAUGCCACGCCGACCCUCCUGAGCUCACCGGCGCUGAAAUAAUGAAGCCUAUUCGUGUAACCAACUGACCCCGAGCUGGAAUACACCUGAUCCUGGGGUCACAAGCCUGCUCAUUCCUUCGAGCUCGAAAACGGAGAGGGUGCACUCCUUGCCCUACCAAACGACGGUCUAAUUCAUCAAUCAACCAUUUCACUUCCAGCUGCAAAACCCCAGCUGAACAUAAUCAUCACUCCUAUCCGGAGUUCCCACGAUCCAUAACCCGGCCUUGAGCAAAUCCCCGAGCCUCAAAUCUAUAAACCCACAAGCUAGACUCUCCCGCUCAACCCACAGAAAUAUAACGAGUACAGGUCAUCUUACUGCUCCCAGAUAACUGUAUCCUUCUGCUCAUCAAAUUACGUACCGAUAACAUGUCCCGGUCUUGGAAAGCUCGUCCAGCUCCUGUCCCCGCCGUCGUUACAGCUGCCAAAGCUGUCGCGGCCACCGUCUUCGCAAUGUCUGCAUGAUGCUCGACAAAAUAGCCAACCAUGGCGGUCUAGAAAGACCCAAUCAUCUUUGGAAUUUAUCCCUGAACAAUCUCGAUCGUCUCCUCCCGGAGGAUCUCCCUGACACGAUCCCCUGACAAUGCUGGCCUAUCCUGGCUGCCAACUUCGGAUCCUAACCUGGAUCCGGUCACAAGACGUCUUGUGACCAGCGUUCUAGCAAUACACUAAAAGGUCUUUAAUUACCUAUAUAAUGAUAGGGAAACAACUCAAAAACCCAACCCUAGGGCUUGUGACUUCCUUGCCACGCGUAUGGGUCCUGUGCUUUCAGUAGUACGGGCCCAUACUACCUUCCACACCUACCCAUAUUUGUCUCAAUUAUCAUCACAACGCCCUAACAAUAUACAUAAAUGUAACGAGCGAUUCCUCACUCCUAGAGGAAUGCUAAACAUCUCAUAUCUGGCCUCCCGGCCUCUCGCUACCCACCCAAUCCAUGAAACUUCCACCGACCCUGCAGCAUUAUUGUAUACUAGCCACACAUAACAUUGGACCCGAUAGACUUUUGAAUAUACAAUUCUACCCUAAGGUCGAAUCAAACAUUCUCAGGCUAUAAGAUCUUGAUUAUGCACAACCAUGAUGCAUACACUAAACAACUACAGUAAGGAUGUCAAUUUCAUAUAAGGAAAACCCUAGGCUAAAAGGCAUCAUGAAAUCAGGUAAUUCUAUCAUGUAAUUCCUGAAGAUCCCUAGCCUAGUACUAGCAUGUUGUUCUAACAUAUAACAUAAUCAAAUAACUUGUGUGGUAUUUUGCGGUCUACUUACUGGCUCUGGCUGAUCGUACCCUCUGCAUCCUCCUUUACUUAUUUCGAAACCUUUUGAAAACCAUUUUGUAAAUCCCUCCUUGAUUUGAGACUGGAUUCACACGAAUGUUCCUCCAAUUCACUCAAACCAAGGCUCUGAUACCAACUUGUCACAACCAUAAAAUUCGAGCCAAAUUAAAACAUUUUAAUUCAUUUAAAAACCCUUAAGUUCAUACAUUUGUUUUCAAAAUAGUUUAAACAUCAGAGUAUUUCCCCAAAACCAUAUCACAUAAAUCAUAAAACAUGAGGAGCGGUACGAUCACGCGUUUACCUUGCCACGUUCUCCUGAAGUACCUAAAACACAACACUAAACUAUAAGCCCGAGAGCUUAGUGAGUUACCCCCAAAAUACCAACCACACACAAACAUACUCAUUACAUAUCGCAAAUAGAACAGCCAUGCACAUCGGGUCUACAGUGUGAUUGGUCUGCCCGCACUGGGCCUUCGAUCCACCUGGUCCACUCUCUGGGUCUACAGUAUGACUGGACCGCCCACACCGGGCCUUCAGUCUGCCUGGUCCACUCUCCGAGCCUCGGCACAUCUGGUCUGCCCUCUUGGGGCCUUCAGCCUAUCUGGACCGCUCGUUGGGCCUUCAGAAUAUCUAGUCCGCCCUGGGUAUGUUGGCCUACAACACAAAGCAGGACCCACCUCAACCCAACCCCCAUCAAAAAAUCAUAUGCACAAUAAACAAUUAAUCGCAUAACAAUCCUUAACCAGACAUACAGUCUAAUAGAUCACAUAGCAUAUCCGUAACAUAGCAACCAUCCUAAACUAGGAUGUAUCUAGCAUAUCAGUAACAUAACAACCACCCUAAACUAGGAUGUAUCUAGCAUAUCAAUAACAUAGCAACCAUCCUAAACCAGGAUGAAAUCUAGCAUAUCAGUAACAUAACAACCACUCUAAACCAAGAUGUAUCUAGCAUAUCAAUAACAUAGCAACCAUCCUAAACCAGGAUGAAAUCUAGCAUAUCAGUAACAUAACAACCACCCUAAACCAGGACGUAUCUAGCAUAGCAAUAACAUAACAAACAAUACCCGGAUUUCCAUCCGAUAAAGGGUUGGCCUUGGUGUCGUAGACCCUAUUGAUAUACUGAGGAGAACUCACCUGCAUUUGCCGACUGGAAAGAUAAGACCAAGCUGCUAAGACCAUCGAC
rnacentral:lncRNA from 1 species